CACCGAGAGCCGGGGAGCCCCGCGUUUUCUCAGCAAUUCGUCAAGGUUGGCGACGAGCGAGGCCCGGACGCUGAGGAGGCUGGAUGCGCCCAGAGGCAAGAGGCUGAGAAAAACAAUCACUACCACUUUGAGCGCACUUUUGCUCUCCACUAUCUUGACAACGUGAAUGUUUUUGUCUUUUGGGAGUUGAGCUGAAACUUUGGUUUUUUUCCAAAACGUGAGCAAGAGAGAAGUUUCUGGAAUGAUAAGUUUUGCAGCUUCCCCGGGCUGUGGGCCUAGGUUUUGCCACAGAUCAAUUAAAGCACGUCAUCUGGGGUGGAAACCAGAAGUCAAUAAUUUUCAAAGAACCCCUGCAAUCGUGAGGCAGUUCGGGAACCAAGGGCCAGUGGCUUAGAAGCCCUGCAAGAAGUCUUGACUGGAUCAGAAAGUGAGACGACGCAGUGGGGAAAUAUUUCACAUAAUUCCUGACAACAUCGAUUUUAUUUUCCUAUGAGAGCUGAGACCCGCGUAAUCAAACCAUGAAGUAAAUGCAUAACCCCAAUGCCUGACGCAAAACCGUAUUCAUUUCCUUUAAUACAUGCCGGUUUUGAAAACUGGAAUUUAUG